rnacentral:lncRNA from 1 species
AUGACAUGUAUGUUUUAAAAACCAAAGAGUGCUCUGGAUCUGGUCCAGUGGACAGGGCUGUGCCAGGUGGCAUUUGUGCAGGUAAAAAAGGCUGUCUGUGGGGAGCCGCUGGAACUCAGGGUCACCUGAUCCAGCCCUAAUUAUAUGCUUUAGCAAAAAGGAAAGUUUUAAGCCUAAUUUUAAAAUUAGAGAUAGAGUCUGUCUCCUGAAUCCAAAUUGGAAUCACUAUAAGACAGAGGAGCACAUUACAAGCCUGAUACUUGCAAACCUAAAAAUUUCAGUAAACUUAAAAAGUUUUACAUGGAAACAACUGUGGUAGUUUCUGUGUAAUAAGCAGGACACAGCGCUGCAAAAUGCAAAACUGCCUGUUUCUAUUUAAUACAAUAUGAAUAACCUAUUAAAGUUUGUAUAUAAGAAUAGAAUAGAAUAGAAUAGAAUACUGAAACUCCUACAAAAUGUAAAUCAAAAUUUUAUCCUCAAUAUAUGUUGAACUGGUUAUUUUGUGGCAUUAAAUUCUGGCAGAGUAAAAACUUAUGAGAUGCCCACCCAGCUGGGUAUGUCCAUGUACAUUCAUACAUCUUGGUGUUCAUAGAUCUAGCUGUCGAUUGUAUUUUUAGGGCAGAAUAAGAAGAGGUAUUCAAAAAAAAGGUCAGUGCAGCCUCAGUGUCUAUAAAAGCCCUGGACCACACACACGGUUCCAUCUCUGCUCUGUAAUGCAGGAAGUACCCAUACACGGGUCUUUUUUUCACAGAUGAGCUUUUCUCACUUCCAGCUGAGCACUUACAUGUUACUUUCUUAGCCUGUGCUGCUAUGUGCAUCUAUUCAAAUAAUCUUUGAAAGAUUGAAACCACAGUGUGGGUGAAUGAAGAGCAUGGAACAGUUUUUUAUCAUUGUGCUAUUAGCAGGAGGAACUCAAGCUCUCAUUCCAGUUGAUGAGACUACAUGUGACCUCAGGACGAGCACAUGUCCAUGCUCUCCUCUUCUUAAAGGAACUGUGUAUGUCCAAGUGAUGACUGAUGCUAGUGGCCGUGAAGUGACAUGUUUGAAGAUGCUUCCCACCGUGAAUAUAAUUGUGUUCAAUCUGAAGAAAGAAACAAUAACAAUAGACAAAGAAUUUAACAACAGACUACACUUUCUAAUCAGGAACGGGACACUCAAGAUCACAAACCUGAGGAGGAAUGAUUCAGGUCAAUAUAACAUUGAGGUCUUUAAUUCAGGUGGAGUCCGAGAGAAAAACAUUAAUUUCACCCUGGAUGUUAAAGGCAAUGACAAAGUUGAAAGCAAGAUAUGUAAGUUACUCUUUAUUGAAUAG